UACAGGGGGUGCAAACGUUGCUCGGAAUCAUUGGGCGUAAAGCGCACGUAGGCGGUUCGUUAUGUCGGAUGUGAAAGCCCUUGGCUUAACCGAGGAAGUGCAUCCGAAACUGGCGAGCUAGAGUACUAAAGAGGAGCGCGGAAUUCCCGGUGUAGAGGUGAAAUUCGUAGAUAUCGGGAGGAACACCGGUGGCGAAGGCGGCGAUCUGGGUAGAUACUGACGCUGAGGUGCGAAAGCGUGGGGAGCAAACAGG
rnacentral:rRNA from 1 species